rnacentral:rRNA from 1 species
CUACGGGCGGCAGCAGUGGGGAAUAUUGCACAAUGGGCGCAAGCCUGAUGCAGCCAUGCCGCGUGUAUGAAGAAGGCCUUCGGGUUGUAAAGUACUUUCAGCGGGGAGGAAGGGAGUAAAGUUAAUACCUUUGCUCAUUGACGUUACCCGCAGAAGAAGCACCGGCUAACUCCGUGCCAGCAGCCGCGGUAAUACGGAGGGUGCAAUCGUUAAUCGUAAUUACUGGGCGUAAAGCGCACGCAGGCGGUUUGUUAAGUCAGAUGUGAAAUCCCCGGGCUCAACCUGGGAACUGCAUCUGAUACUGGCAAGCUUGAGUCUCGUAGAGGGGGGUAGAAUUCCAGGUGUAGCGGUGAAAUGCGUAGAGAUCUGGAGGAAUACCGGUGGCGAAGGCGGCCCCCUGGACGAAGACUGACGCUCAGGUGCGAAAGCGUGGGGAACAAACAGGAUUAGAUACCCGGGUAGUC